UACGCGUGAGAACCUGCCUCUAGGAUGGGGACAACAGUUGGAAACGACUGCUAAUACCCAAUAUGCGGAAACGUGAAAAUUAUUUUGCCUGGAGAGGGGCUCGCGUCCGAUUAGUUAGUUGGUGGUGUAAAGGACUACCAAGGCAGCGAUCGGUAGCUGGUCUGAGAGGAUGAGCAGCCACACUGGGACUGAGACACGGCCCAGACUCCUACGGGAGGCAGCAGUGGGGAAUUUUCCGCAAUGGGCGAAAGCCUGACGGAGCAAUACCGCGUGAGGGAAGAAGGCUUUUGGGUUGUAAACCUCUUUUAAUAAGGAAGAAGAAAGUGACGGUACUUAUUGAAUCAGCAUCGGCUAACUCCGUGCCAGCAGCCGCGGUAAUACGGAGGAUGCAAGCGUUAUCCGGAAUCAUUGGGCGUAAAGCGUCCGCAGGUGGUCAUUCAAGUCUGCCGUUAAAGACAGAAGCUCAACUUCUGAUAGGCGGUGGAAACUGGAUGACUAGAGUAUGGUAGGGGUUGAGGGAAUUCCCAGUGUAGCGGUGAAAUGCGUAGAUAUUGGGAAGAACACCAGUGGCGAAGGCGCUCAACUGGGCCAUAACUGACACUCAGGGACGAAAGCUAGGGUAGCGAAAGGGAUUAGAUACCCCUGUAGUCCUAGCUGUAAACGAUGAACACUAGGCGUUGCUUGUAUCGACCCGAGCAGU
rnacentral:rRNA from 1 species